GACGAACGCUGGCGGCGUGCUUAACACAUGCAAGUCGAACGGAAAGGCCCUGCUUUUGUGGGGUGCUCGAGUGGCGAACGCGUGAGUAACACGUGAGUAACCUGCCCUUGACUUUGGGAUAACUUCAGGAAACUGGGGCUCAUACCGGAUAGGAGCUCCUGCUGCAUGUUGGGGGUUGGAAAGUUUCGGCGGUUGGGGAUGGACUCGCGGCUUAUCAGCUUGUUUGUGAGGUAGUGGCUUACCAAGGCUUUGACGGGUAGCCGGCCUGAGAGGGUGACCGGCCACAUUGGGACUGAGAUACGGCCCAGACGCCUACGGGAGGCAGCAGUGGGGAAUAUUGCACAAUGGGCGGAAGCCUGAUGCAGAAACGCCGCGUGCGGGAUGACGGCCUUCGGGUUGUAAACCGCUUUCGCCUGUGACGAAGCGUGAGUGACGGUAAUGGGUAAAGAAGCAACGGCUAACUACGUG
rnacentral:rRNA from 1 species